rnacentral:lncRNA from 1 species
ACUUUAGGAAAAGACAGUUCAGCACAUACCAAAAUCAUCUGCAUAAACCUGGAGGACUUUUUAAAAUCUUAAUGGAGAAACUGAGCAGCUAAACCUCGACUUCUCAGGGUCAGUGAUGUAUAAUCGUAGAUGUUUGUGUCUGACAAUGUAAAUGUGAAAGGACUUAGAGCACAGAGUGAAAAAGUAUGUGUCUAACUCUCAUCUAAACUGUGUGUUUAAAUGAAAAGAAAGGGGGAAAAAAAGGUUAAUGUUCAUUUCAAAACUUAGUUGUCAGCUUUCCUGGGUACGAGCCUUCUGUUUCUGUGGAAAUGAAAGAGAAACAGUUCAAUUGAAUCUCAUCUACCCAGUGAACCCUUUACUGUGUGAGGAGUUUCCCCCCUGACUUUCCUCAUAGGUAUCAGUUUCUAUGUUGUGUUGGUGUCAGACAUCGUCUGAUCCCCCUGCCUCCCAAACCUGGGAGAACACCCGCUGAGACAAAUUGAGCUAGUUAAAACCAGCCAGGAGUGUUUCCAGUAAUCCUCUUCCUUUCAGAUUCCCAGGAGCUCUGAGACCCAUAAAUAAUGUUAAGGAGGGGGAUUUUCAGCCGUGGAGCACAGAUCCAUUUCUUUUUAACUCUCACAUUCCCCUUAAAACUUGACCACCAACACAUUACAUGCUUUCAAUUUGUCUGUAUCCUAAAAUCAGAUGAACAGCAGCCCUUUUUUCACCCCGAGCUCGGAAGUUGAAACAGAAAUUUCCGCUAACAUUGACAGGCAAAGCAGAGCGGACAUCUGAACUGACAGGCUGUUAAUCCACGCCAGAGUAGGAGAUUAACUCUUUGUUUUCAUUAAUGCAUGAAAAUAUGCAAACUUCAUCCUCCGGCCACUUUGCUGGCCAAGUGUUAUGCAAAGCCCUGACAAGGAGGAGCAGCAUCUGUGCUUCUAUUGGUGGAGCUGAGCCACACCUCCUUCGCCUGCUCGCUCCUCAUUCUUCACUCGGCAUGUGACUCCAGUUAUGAGAGGAGGGGGUUCAUUCCCCUCUUUACCUACUCUGCUCCCUGUCAGAUUAUAUCCUGUUUCACUAUUUCUCAAUUGGCUGAAAUGAUCCAAUCAUAACUCUUAACCUUCCCACGGUCGACUGUUUGUGUAGCUGUACAAUAGCAAUAUUACACAAUUUUAGGAUUCACACCCUGGUUACAGUACAUAUAUAUUUAAGAGCUUUCUACUGCUUAAACAGACUCACAUACAAUGAAGAAAAGUAGCAUUUGGCUCAAUCAUUUGUCUGCUUCAUGUGUCAUCUACAAGUUUAUCUCUUUAAUAAGACAUUUUCAUUCUUUUUAGCUUGAAGGUGUCAUCAUUAUUCAGGUUAAAAACAAACGUUUCAUCGACAGUGGGUAAACAAAGAUCAGGUUUAUCCAUGUUUUCCUCACCAAUCCCAUCACAUUUUCCUCCGCUGCUGUCUCGUAAUCUUUGAAAAUUAUUAUAUUAAGAUGCCAAACUUUCUGAUUUAAGCCAAACUCCACCAUUAAACUUUGAGUUUCACAGUAUUUGUCGUGCGUCUAUUUGGUUUUCCUUGGCAAACACUAAAUUUGCUCUCCGUUUUGAAUGAGCAUAUUUACCGUCCAUUUUGUCUCUCUUAUUUGUUUUCUUAUCUCAGCUUCAGGCUUAGGGACAAAUUACUUUACAUGUUUGUUUUUUAUGCAACUAAACUGAAAUAAUCUCGUUUAAUAAGCUUAUAAUCUAGGAUAAAGGACACAUUUUUGAGUUUGGUUUAGGUCGUUGUUAUUUUUGACCGUUAAUUUCUAAAAGCUCUCUCAGCAUAAUUUUCAAAACCUUAAAGACGGAUGUUACAUAAUGUUGUGUACAAGUUAGGCUGGUUUUUUGACGCUCCACUGAGUUUGAUUGAUUCAGUUGUGAUAAAACAUUUGCAUGGCAGUAAAGUCGUUCGAGAUGACGCCGAUGAAUUUGUAUUUGUCGCUUUCUUCAAACAGAAGAUUGUGGUGAUGACAUGAUGUGUUAUUAAUCCCACCCAAGACACACAUGAACAUCUACAGCUGACUUCACACACUAAACACACAUCAUGUUACACUGAAUACUCUAAUAGUACAAUGUGGAAUUAUAAGGUUUGAUUUUAUGUAAGGUUACGCCAAAAUUGUCAAGAGUUAUGUCUUUUCACUCCUCUAAAGAUGCACCUGUUUACUUUUUGGGGUCGUAAAGUUACUUUUAUUUAUUUGCUUUGUUUAUUUUUAUUGUUGUUUUAUGUUUUUAUAUGUUUUAUGCCUUUAUUGUUUUUGAAGCUUUUAUUGUUCCUGGCUAUUUUACUGUAAAGCACUUUGGGAGGCCACUGGCUGUUUUAAAUGUGCUCUAUAAAUAAAGCUGACAUUGACAUUGACAUUGACAGAGUAAGUUUGAAUAAAUAUAUAAAUUAAAACAAACAUUGAGCCGCAGGGAAAUGUAAGAAAAGAGGAAACGGAGCUCAGACAGAGACCUUAAAUUAACUUACAGUAGAGCAAACGCAAGACGCCACAGAUAUUGCAUCAGCUGUCAAUCAAGUUGUCGCUCUGACCUGAGUCCUAACCUUACACCGUGACACCUCUGCCAUGCUGCUGCAUAGUGUGCACGGCAUUAGUUGUGAGAAAAGUGCAUGCACAUGUAGACGUUAUCUGUCAUCUAUUGGGAUGUUUGGUCUCAACGUCAAACUCUGCAUGGCUCUGUUUUGGUGUCCUCGUGUUUGUUUGCUGUCAUUUGCACAGGGAACAGGUGGUGCAGUGCUUGUGCUGAUCAUCAUGUACGCCCUCAGAUCAGGAGUAGCAUCGGUGUGGUGUGAUACCCUCGAGAAAUGAUAUCCUGGACUUUUUUUAAUCGCAGCAGAGAGUAUUUCAGGUGCAGCAGCAGCAGCAGCAGGGUUUUGAUACGAGUGCAGUGUUGAGGUGAUCGUGCCCAUUCAAGGCUGUGAAAGUGACACCCCGGAGCAACCCUCCACCAUUCACAGUUAAAUAUAGACCAGUGUGUUAGUGGAAGUGCACAGCUGCAGACAGGACUGCAGAUCUGAAUUUGAUGCUGUUACUUGAGCUUGAACUCUAAUAGCUUGAUAUACUGUAACUGUAGGGAUGAACUUUGUAGAAGGAGCUGACGUGGAGACGAGGUGUACUUCCAGGAAUAGUUUUAGGUCAUCAAAUGGCAGUCGUUCAUCUUUUUAAAGGGAUAUUCUGGCGUAAAAUCAAGUAAGGGUCAAACACACCAUAACACUGAGUUAGACAUCCCCUCGAGAGAUGAAUGUUGCUGACCGCUCGCUUCUCCAGUUGUAUAAACUUUAGUAAUGACCGCAGGGUAGCAAAACAGAGAGCCAUGGGCUAAACCAAAACGCCACUCUAUAGCCACAAAUAAUGCUCAGAACAGCACCUAACUUCACCAAGCAGAGAAGCCGGCGUUGUUUCUGGCUGUUGUUGAUAUCUGUCUCUGUCUUUGUACGGUAGAGUUUGAACUUGUAGAGAUGUCCUGUGUUCACUGGCGAUGAUUUUCAAUCUUAAUUGGAUUAUUUCCUGACACAGUUGUUGACAAAGCGGUGAACCCAGCUCUGUCCCUGAUUCUGAAUGACUCCUUUGCUGCUCCUUUUAUACCCAAUCAUGACUCUCACCUGUUUCCAAUUAACCUGUUCACCUGUGGAGUGAUCCAAACUGGUGUUUUUAGAGCAGUCCUCAAUCUUUCUUUUGCAGACUCUGUCCAAACGUUUUGGAAAGUGUUACAUACCUCAAAUUCAAGUGAAUGUUUGUAAAAAAAAUACUAUAAAAAUACUAUAAAGUAUAUUAGUUUGAACAAAUAUUUUGUUUCUGUAGUGUAUUCAGUUGAAUAGAGGUGGAAAAGGAUUUAUCAUUUUACACAAAUGGUUUUGGUUUCACAAAUGAAACAACUAUAAAAAUGAGAAAUUCUGUGUUUUAUGGGGCAGCUAUUAUCACCAAGAGACCUGUAAUGUUGGGUUUUUCAAAAACCUGACCCUGAAGCGUAUCCACAACAUGUGGGUAGCACAAAAUCUGCUCAGUAAUUUACAGAGCCGGCAGGAUUUGUGUCACAGCAACAAAGCUAGUAAUAAUGAAAAAGCUCAUUGGAUUAGGAGUGAUACGGCUCCAGAGGUUCUUUGGCUGGAACAGGAUUUGAUCCUAAAAACUCUUUGCAAAUAAGUUUCAUUCAUGAUGCACGCAAAACACACAGAAAAACCGAGGGGAGCGAAAAAGCGGGUUUUCUGGACAAACAUUUGAGUUGAAAUUAUAAAUUACUGGAGGUGAAAACAUGACAGACUUUUCUAGUGUUUCCAGCAGUCCUAAAACCUGUCGUUCACUCGCCACGCUUGUCCCCCUGAGGCGCUAACAAGAGAGCAGUGUACAAACUUGUCUGAGAGAAAACUUAAAAGGAUGUCCAAAUAUUUUUUUAAAAGUCUGAAUUACUUUAAGUGAUUCGAUAUUUGUUCAAUCAUGCAGUCGAAACCUUCUCUUUGUUAGUUUUUAGAGCUUUACAAUGACCGUCGAGUUUUAAAUCUACAUUUAGUGCUACAGUCGAUCAGAAAUAUGUGCAACAUUACAGCAGCCUUAACACAUGAAAUACAUCUCCAAAAAUCUGUCGACUUUGAAUGAACACGAGGGUCUGCUGUGGUGUUAAUGUGUCUGUUCUGAACAGACUUAUUUACACAGCAUCAUUACUCCUCUUGUUUGUUCACUCUGGGGUGUGUUUGUGUUACCCUGGAGUUGUUGUAGGAUUUUAUUGACAGUAUAAAUUUUGCACAGCCUUUUUUUUUUAAGUGCUAGUUUAGAGUAAAGUUUAAAACCAAAUACACUAGCUAAUAUUUAACAGCCCUGAGUGUUUCACUUCAUUCAAUGUAAACGACUGUAGCUCCGGUUUUGUACAGUUUGUCCCAGUUUAAGAAACUAUAAAUCCCAGUCUGGUAUGAGUUAUGUAAAAUUGCACAAUUGAGGAGACUCCAGCAGAGCUUUCCGAGGAAAAGAAGACAAACUUGAGUCACACCUUGACUUUUGCUCCAGUUCCUGCGUUCCUCAUAUACAGUGUUUUAUGUUGGUACACUGAGGCCUCCUGGAGCUCUUCCUGCUGAGCCUCUGAUACCAAAGUAUCAAAUGUUCCGCUGAGAGCUGCAGAAGGCCACCGGGUCUCUGAGAAAAGAAUUUGUCUUGUUGUGUCUGAGCUGUGCUAUCAAAUCAGAGCUGACUUUGACGUGUAAGAACUCCUCUUUUGUUUUGGAUAACGGUCAGCCUUGAAACACCCUGUUCUUGUCAGAUUAUUUAGACUCAAGGGAAAUGAUGGAGAGGAGUGGGUGUUUGGAUUUAAGGACUUUACAAACUCGAACUUCAAAGUUGAAAGAGAUCUCAGUGAUUGGUGUUGAGGUUUUAUUACAAACUGUGUUUAUUUUGGAGGACAUUAUGCUGCCUCCUGAAGUCUUGUUAUGAUGGGACCAUAAAAAACCAUCUCUGUUUGUUUUGGCAAACUGCAAACUAAAUAUAAACCCUGUGAUCCAUCCAUCAGCAAUGACAUGAUAUAUUAAUAUUGUACAUCUGGGAAACAGAGGGAGAAAGCACAGAAAUAUGUAAAACCGUGUACUCAACAUGGGCUUUGGAAGUUGUCCAAUCGAUGUCGCACAAAGACCAGAUACAGACUCCCUCUUUCUGAAUUACAGUUCAGUUUAGUCUGGUCCUGUCCCAUCACAUCUCAUCCUCUUACACUUACAGAAAAAUUAGUUUUCUUUAUUAUUUUUUAAUAUUCUAUUUUAUUGAUUUCUUAUUUCAAUAUUCCAUCAACAUUUUACAUUUAUUGAACAAAUUUCCAACUGUAUAGAAUAUUUGCAUACUUCUCCAUCGCGGAGCAGAGACAUAGUUAGACAUAAGUUCUCAGGUAAAGUUACAGUAGAAUAACGGUGAGGAAAAAUGAAACACUUUUUCUCCUGUUGGAGGGUAAACAUAAUAAACAUUUGAACAAUGAACAAGUUUGUAGCCUGAACCAAGGGGAUCAAUAAUCUAGAAUACACAAUGACCUUACUGCACAAAGUUUGAGACACAAAAUCGACCCAGUUUUUCCAGUAGUUUUUAAAAGUAUGUGUUUUUAGCUUCUCCAUUCUAUAUAUAUAUAUUGAUCAUUACCUCUUCCCAAUCCUCGAUUUUUAGUGCAUCUGUUUUUAGCCAAUUUUUAGUGAUGGCCUUUUUCGCUGCCACUAACAUUAUUUGAAAUAUGGAUUUUUUUUUCCUGGCGUUGUUAUCUCCUUGCUCUAUUUUCCCAAAUAUAAAACUUCAAAUGUAAGUGGAAGUUGCCAAUACGGUUUAAUACCAGAGAGAAAAAUUAGUACUACAUUUGUUUAUGCAUUUUAUAUAUUAAUUCUAACUGUAUAUAAGUAAAACAAAAUGUGAUUGAUGUUCAUUAAAAAGUGCAUCAAGUCUAUGAAUUCAAACUGUGAUGCAAAGAUUUUUUAAUGGAACUUUUUCUUAUAGUUCAUUAACAUCAGUACACAAGAACAGCUAAACAGGGCAACCCAAGACUCGACAGUGUAGCAGCUUUUAAAGGUGAGGGCUACAGCUCAGUCUCUUUAUGGGCCUCUUCACUCUGUCAUCAGAGGCUAAUUAGAGAGAGAGAAAAGGGUUUCCUCGGGUUAAACUCCUGCAACAUGUCCUGGAGAAAUACACUGACCACAACUGCAGACCUGA